CGUCUCUCUCAUACAAAAUGAAAGCACCUUUUUUAUUUUUUUAUUUUUGUACUUUACUGUUGAGGAGUCUUGACAGUAGAGUACCCCACACUACGUUUUGGAGGAUGCAGAUUUUGGAGCUUUGUGUAUUCUAGGCUUUUUCUCCAAUACCCUUUUGUUAUCAUCAGAUCUUUUGAUGAGUGUCCAUUUCAAGUGGAAUCAUCCCGAUGUAAACAUCAUAAUUAUAUAAAAAAAGUUAUAUCAUCUUCAAUCAUCACAUAAUGGAGGUCACACAUUCAUGUCGUGGAAAAUAGCCCUCUGCAUCAAUGUAAAGUGAGGUUGCGCACAAUUGACUAUUGUUAUUCGAUUCUUCCAUGGACCCUGCACGUAGCGGGAGAUUUACUGCAUCAAAUGAGCCUUUAGUGAAUGAUUUAAUAGCACACUGCAUCAAAUUGGCCUUUAGUGAAUGAUUUAAUAGCACAGAUGCUCUUAGUAAUCUAAAAUGAGAGCGAUUUGGAAUUUAGCACUUGUUUUCACCUAUUAAAGAAAAAGACAUCCGAACAGAUGUGGUAGCAGUGAUCUUGGAAUUGUUUGAAUUCCUGUUGCAUUCUAAGGAUAAAUGUCAUUAAAUUUUGAAGAUGAGAUUUGUUGAUUUUCAUAGUGGUUCCACCAUUUGAGGGAACCAUUUUCCUAAUAAUUGUUGUACACAUUUCUUUGUUGCAGAUUAGUAUGUAGCUUUAAACUGGUUGGCCUUAUACCGAGAAUGUUGUAGAUUUUUCAUAUUCAUCUUAUACUCUUAUUGAAGACGGUAAUUUGGUCACUCUGUGAAUUAGCUUCUAUACCAGGAUUUUGAGGACUUUAACAUUUUAUGCAGAUGGCGUACAUUUGACCACUUAUGGAAGUAUAGAUGGUGCAGUUUAUGAUCUUGCUGAUCAAGCCUUUAUCACUGGUCAAAUUCACUUGCUUCUUCGGUGUGAGAACGAUAUGCGUUGUUGUCCAAACCUAGACAGAGAUGCUGAGAGCUGCUAUGAGUUUUCAUGCUAGCGUAUUCUGGAGAACGAUGAUUUGGGCUAUUGCUAUUCUAUCCUUGCCUAUACGAAGUUUAACUGCUCUACGGAGGGAAAGGGCGUAUAUGAGGUGGUAGGUCUGCCUGAACUCUACUCUACUAUGCUGGUAGCCACGGUAUCAUCAAUGAGAGAAGACGUGAUAAGGAGCUAGAUUUAUUGGUUCUCAACAGUCGACAAACUGAUGGAGAACGAGAAGAAUAAGGGUACAUGAGUGUCAAUGGAGGUCUGUUCUGAUGGAUCUUAUGGCAUCCUAGCUGGCUUAAUUUACUCUUUCCCUGUUACUUGUGAGAAAGGAGAAUGGUCAAUUGUGCAAGGUUAGUUUCUAGUCUCUUUUAUUAUCAAUUAGUUUCCCUCUUAUAAAAUUCAAAAAAUGUUCAGUGAGUUAUGGGCUACGCAGGAAAACCUGUGUACAGUUUUACACUCAAGUAAAGACAAUCGUUCAACCUAUUUAUAAAACAUGAAAGGUGCAAAAGAAUAAUAAUUUUAUAAUUUGAAGACAAUAGUUGAAAACAAUUUAACAUUACAACUCUCUUACAAUUACAAUUACGUAUAUACAGAUAGCAUUGUUGCAACGGAGAAGUAAAUAUACAAUUUCUUUAUAUAUCGUACUAUUUUUAGUUGUUAUUCUCCCUUACUUUCUAGGAUCUAUGAAAAACAGUUUUACAUUACCUCCGCGUCAACUAAUAUCACAGUUUUUCGAAAGCCACCUCCAUUCUUAAACGGUUUCAUUGGCCCGCUUUCGAUGAUCAAGACUUUGAUCAUCCAGAUACACUCGUUUGGCUUCAAAGUGUUGAUUCCUACAACUUCGGUGAUAGAAUCCAUCGUAUGAUAGUCUUUAAGAAAUCAUGCGUGAAAGUUAGAACGACAAGAACGUAUAAUUUGAUAACAGAAUUUGUGAGAUGGAAUGAAUUAUACCUGAAUAUGUGAAUCUUGUUGGUAGAUGGAUAAACAAAGAAGAUUAGUUAUGAGCAAUAGAAAUCAAAACAUAUUAACAAACAGCUGAAAGUUAAAUAGAUUAAUGAGCCAUAGACUAAUGAACACUUCGAUCUAAGUAGAUUAACGCACACCUUAAGCUAAGUUAAGCUAAUUAAUUGAAGCUGACAUAACAAGUAACAUUGUCUUCAAAUUGAUUUAAUUUUUCAUAGCGAGUAACAUUGUCUUCAAAUUAACAAUGAAAAAAGGGAGUGAUGUUGUGACAUCAAAAAUCUGGAAAUGAAAUUGUUGAAGCAGUUGCUGAGAUAGAAACAAUGGAACCUGAAACUAAAAUUAUUGAAGUAGUUGUUGAGAUGAAAACAAUGAAAAACGAUGAAUAAUAAAAAAUUACAGCGUUUAAAUAGAUGAAACAGAUGAAAACGAUGAAAUAAUAUUUAUGGGAAAAAGUAAAUUUGGAAAAAUACGGUUGUGAAAAAAUUAGAACACAAAUUUAAAUUUGGACAAAAACAAAUUUGGAAAAAUACGGUUGUGAAAAACCUUGAGAGAAUUUUGAAAAAAUCAAAUUCAAAUUUGGACAAAAAAAAUUUGGCUUGGAAAAGGCAGAAGGUUGUUUAAAAAAAUACGGUUGUCACAAAUUUGGACAAACUUGAAUAAUUUAAUUAUUGAAAAUAAUUACUAUAUUUAAUUGUAGGAAAAGGGAAAAAAACGGCUUGAAAAAGGAUGGCAGGAAAAAGAAAAACGACGGCUUGGAAAAGGAGACCGUUGUUUGGAAAAAUACGGUUGUUACAAAUUUGGACAAACUUAAAUAAUUUAAAGAUAGAAAACAAUUGCUAUAUUUAAUUGGAAAAAUACGGUUGCUACAAAUUUGGACAAUCUUAAAUAAUUUAAUUGUAGAAAACAAUUACUAUAUUUAAUUGUAGGAAAAAGGAAAAAGACGAUUGUUACAAAUUUGGACAAAAUUGGACAAUUUAAUUUUAGAAAAUAAUUGCUAUAUUUAGUUGUAGGAAAAGGAAAAGGACGAUUUUAUCUAAAGCGGAGUCUUUUAAUGAAGGGUAAAAAGU